AGAUUAAACUGAAGAGUUUGAUCCUGGCUCAGAUUGAACGCUGGCGGCAUGCUUUACACAUGCAAGUCGAACGGCAGCGCGGGCUUCGGCCUGGCGGCGAGUGGCGAACGGGUGAGUAAUAUAUCGGAACGUGCCCAAGAGUGGGGGAUAACGUAGCGAAAGUUACGCUAAUACCGCAUACGAUCUAUGGAUGAAAGCAGGGGACCGCAAGGCCUUGUGCUCCUGGAGCGGCCGAUAUCUGAUUAGCUAGUUGGUGAGGUAAAGGCUCACCAAGGCGACGAUCAGUAGCUGGUCUGAGAGGACGACCAGCCACACUGGAACUGAGACACGGUCCAGACUCCUACGGGAGGCAGCAGUGGGGAAUUUUGGACAAUGGGGGCAACCCUGAUCCAGCAAUGCCGCGUGAGUGAAGAAGGCCUUCGGGUUGUAAAGCUCUUUUGUCAGGGAAGAAAAGGGUACGGCUAAUAUCCGUGCCUCAUGACGGUACCUGAAGAAUAAGCACCGGCUAACUACGUGCCAGCAGCCGCGGUAAUACGUAGGGUGCAAGCGUUAAUCGGAAUUACUGGGCGUAAAGCGUGCGCAGGCGGUUUUGUAAGUCUGUUGUGAAAUCCCCGGGCUUAACCUGGGAAUGGCAAUGGAGACUGCAAGGCUAGAGUUUGGCAGAGGGGGGUAGAAUUCCACGUGUAGCAGUGAAAUGCGUAGAGAUGUGGAGGAACACCGAUGGCGAAGGCAGCCCCCUGGGUCAAGACUGACGCUCAUGCACGAAAGCGUGGGGAGCAAACAGGAUUAGAUACCCUGGUAGUCCACGCCCUAAACGAUGUCUACUAGUUGUUGGGUCUUAAUUGACUUAGUAACGCAGCUAACGCGUGAAGUAGACCGCCUGGGGAGUACGGUCGCAAGAUUAAAACUCAAAGGAAUUGACGGGGACCCGCACAAGCGGUGGAUGAUGUGGAUUAAUUCGAUGCAACGCGAAAAACCUUACCUACCCUUGACAUGUCAGGAAUCCCGGAGAGAUCCGGGAGUGCCCGAAAGGGAACCUGAACACAGGUGCUGCAUGGCUGUCGUCAGCUCGUGUCGUGAGAUGUUGGGUUAAGUCCCGCAACGAGCGCAACCCUUGUCAUUAGUUGCUACGAAAGAGCACUCUAAUGAGACUGCCGGUGACAAACCGGAGGAAGGUGGGGAUGACGUCAAGUCCUCAUGGCCCUUAUGGGUAGGGCUUCACACGUCAUACAAUGGUACAUACAGAGGGCCGCCAACCCGCGAGGGGGAGCUAAUCCCAGAAAGUGUAUCGUAGUCCGGAUUGUAGUCUGCAACUCGACUGCAUGAAGUUGGAAUCGCUAGUAAUCGCGGAUCAGCAUGUCGCGGUGAAUACGUUCCCGGGUCUUGUACACACCGCCCGUCACACCAUGGGAGCGGGUUUUACCAGAAGUAGGUAGCUUAACCGUAAGGAGGGCGCUUACCACGGUAGGAUUCGUGACUGGGGUGAAGUCGUAACAAGGUAGCCGUAUCGGAAGGUGCGGCUGGAUCACCUCCUUUCUA
rnacentral:rRNA from 1 species